AACGGAUCUCUUGGUUCUGGCAUCGAUGAAGAACGCAGCAAAAUGCGAUAAGUAAUGUGAAUUGCAGAAUUCAGUGAAUCAUCGAAUCUUUG
rnacentral:rRNA from 1 species